rnacentral:sRNA from 1 species
AUCUGUUGGGGACAGAUAAAAUGAAUGUGGGCAUCGACACCACCGGGAGUAAGAAUUUGACCUUCACCUGCAAUAACCUCGGUUCCGGGGCCAAUAAUAAUAUCGACGGAAUCUUGUAUAUCAGGGUUGCCCGCUUUUCCAAUACAACCUAUUCGACCAUCUUUAAUACCAACGUCUGCUUUAACAAUACCCCAAUGAUCUAGAAUCACUGCAUUGGUAAUCACCGUAUCAACAGAUUCUUUGCAGCAUUUUUGACUCUGACCCAUGCCGUCUCG